rnacentral:rRNA from 1 species
UACGUAGGGUGCAAGCGUUAAUCGGAAUUACUGGGCGUAAAGCGUGCGCAGGCGGUGAGCUGUGUCCGAUGUGAAAGCCCCGGGCUUAACCUGGGAAUGGCAUUGGAAACUGGCUCGCUGGAGUGUGGCAGAGGGGGGUGGAAUUCCGCGUGUAGCAGUGAAAUGCGUAGAGAUGCGGAGGAACACCGAUGGCGAAGGCAGCCCCCUGGGCUAACACUGACGCUCAGGCACGAAAGCUAGGGGAGCAAACAGG